rnacentral:misc_RNA from 1 species
AAGUCGUAACAAGGUUUCCGUAGGUGAACCUGCGGAAGGAUCAUUAUGAAUCAGUAGCUUGCUACUGCGCUGGGGGAGAUGGGAAAGUCCUGGCUGAAAAGCUGGUGUACCGGUACCUGCACCCCUAUCAUACCCUUGUCUUUUGAGUACUUAUGUUUCCUUGGUGGGCUUGCCUGCCGACAGGACAAACUUUAAACCUUUUUAAAUAUCAAUCAGCGUCUGAAAAAUAAUUAAUAAUUACAACUUUCAACAACGGAUCUCUUGGUUCUG